AAUAUGAUUGUGAGCUAUCAUACUAUCUUCUUAAAAAAUAAUUUAUCCAAGAUAGAGAUAGUGGGAGGAUAAGCUCAAAGGGAGAGUGAUAAGUAUAAUAAAUAUCUCAAUAACAGCAUCAAAAUACAUCUUAAUUAAUCUUUAUUCUUUAAGAAUUGAUACUUUUACUUGUAUUUUGUAGGAAAGAAGAUUAUGAAUGCAAAGAGCUCGAUUUGUAGAUUCAAAGAAAAAAAAUUGGGAACAAAUCAGAUUCAGUUUGGAUCCUGAAUGA
rnacentral:lncRNA from 1 species